AUGAUCCGACCAAAUAAAGGAUCCAGCGGGGAGAUUAUCCCCUGGGAGUGCCUGCUGCAGUUUCUCUCCGCGGACCAUCGCCCGGCCUCUCCUCUUCCAGCUUCGCCUCGCCGCAGACGACGUUACCGACCUUCAGCCUCGGCGAUCCUCUCCACCCUCCCGGAGCCAGAGGAGAGAUUGGACCAGGAAACGCUUCCGGAUUGGUCCAGCUACAUGGGCACCCGCCUGGCUGUGUGCUCCCCCGGAGUUGGCCCACGGCGUGGGGAAAGACGCCGGGCUCCACUGCAGCCCUGCAUCUCGGGACAGAGCUGCAAGCUCGCCGCUGCCCCUGCUCAGCGCAGCAGCUUGGACCCACCCCCGGUCAGACCAGCAGUCCCGUCUCCGGCCCAAUCGGCGCCUCCGUCAUCUGCAGGCAGAGGAGCAGUGCCUGCAGCCCAGCUGACAGAGCUCGUCAGUCUCCAGGCGGAGCUUGGCCGGAUCCGCCAGCUCGUCAGCCUCCAGGAGUCCCACCUGGACACUCUAUCCUCCUCGAACCACCAGGAGAGGGUCUCGGUCCAGCCGGCAGCUCCCUCAUCUCAGAGCCAGAGGAGCGAGCUCGAGGUCCACCCAGCGGAGCUCGCCGGUCUCCGGGCUGAGCUGGCCCAGCUCCAUCGGACCCUUAGCCUCCAGGAGCUUCAGCUAGACGGUCUGUCCUCCCUGCUCUCCCAGUUUCCAGCACCAUCAGUUCACUCGCAGCCUGAUCCAGCGGUGGUCCUGGAGGUCGCACUGCAUCCAGUCCAGCCUUGUCCAGGCAGCCCCUCCCGCAGCAGCUCCGCCUCCACUCCAGAAACAGACGGUUCCGGCCCAGAAGCAGAUGGUUCCGGUUCUGGCCCAGAGGCAGACGGUUCCGGUUCCGGCCCAGAAGCAGACGGUUCCGGCCCAGAAGCAGACGGUUCUGGCCCAGAAGCGGAUGGUUCCGGUUCCAGCCCAGAUGCAGACGGUUCUGGCCCAGAAGUCGACGGUCUGGAAGUCGACGGUCUGGAAGUCGACGGUCCAGAAGUCGACGGUCCAGAAGUCGACAGUCCAGAAGCCUAUGGACCAGAAGUCGACGGACCAGGAGUCAACGCCCCCGGACCAGAAGUUGACGCCCCUGGACCAGAAGUCAAUGGAGGUCGACGCCUCCUCCAGUCCUGUGGCCGACGCCACUUCCAGUCCUGUGGUCGACGCCACUUCCAGUCCUGUGGUCGACACCUCUUCCAGUCCUGUUGUCGAUGCCUCUUCCAGUCCUGUGGUCGAUGCCUCUUCCAGUCCUUUGGUCGACGCCUCCUCGUGUUCUGA
rnacentral:lncRNA from 1 species